UACGAAGGGUGCAAGCGUUACUCGGAAUUACUGGGCGUAAAGCGUGCGUAGGUGGUUUGUUAAGUCUGUUGUGAAAGCCCCCGGGCUCAACCUGGGAAUGGCAAUGGAUACUGGCAAGCUAGAGUGCGGUAGAGGGUAGUGGAAUUCCCGGUGUAGCGGUGAAAUGCGUAGAGAUCGGGAGGAACACCAGUGGCGAAGGCGGCUACCUGGACAAUUGCUGAC
rnacentral:rRNA from 1 species